rnacentral:rRNA from 1 species
UACGAAGGGUGCAAGCGUUAUCCGGAAUGAUUGGGCGUAAAGCGUCCGCAGGUGGCUGUGUAAGUCUGCUGUUAAAGAGUCUAGCUCAACUAGAUACAAGCAGUGGAAACUACACGGCUAGAGUACGUUCGGGGCAGAGGGAAUUCCUGGUGUAGCGGUGAAAUGCGUAGAGAUCAGGAAGAACACCGGUGGCGAAGGCGCUCUGCUAGGCCGUAACUGACACUGAGGGACGAAAGCUAGGGGAGCGAAUGGG